UCUCUGUCUCUCUCUCUGUCUCUCUCUCUGUCUCUCUCUCUGUCUCUCUCUCUGUCUCUCUCUCUGUCUCUCUCUCUGUCUCUCUCUCUGUCUCUCUCCCUGUCUCUCUCUCUGUCUCUCUCUCUGUCUCUCUCUCUGUCUCUUUCUCUGUCUCUUUCUCUGUCUCUCUCUCUGUCUCUCUCUCUGUCUCUCUCUCUGUCUCUCUCUCUGUCUCUCUCUCUCUCUGUCUCUCUCUCUGUCUCUCUCUCUGUCUCUCUGUCUCUCUCUCUGUCUCUCUCUCUGUCUCUCUCUCUGUCUCUCUCUGUCUCUCUCUCUGUCUCUCUCUGUCUCUCUCUCUGUCUCUCUCUCUGUCUCUCUCUCUGUCUC